rnacentral:piRNA from 1 species
UAACCAACAAGGAUGAUGAAACCAUGA